rnacentral:ncRNA from 1 species
GCGCUUUCCGAGGGGAGCACCGGGCGGUGCUGAGAUGGUGUUGAACCGGACCCUUGAACCUGAUCCGGGUCAUGCCGGCGUAGGAACGGAUUGAGGGCCGCCC